AGGGGAGGGACAGGAGCGGCGGAAAUCAAGACGGUGUCAGCAGCAUAGGCGUGACUCCUGCGUCCUAAAGCACACAGUAGAGACAGGAAUCCCAGCUUCGGUGCGUGCGUCCGGCUUCAGUACACUCUAUUUCACAGGCACGCUUCGUUCGGUUUCAUAUGGUUCGAUAGUUUAAUCUAUAUACUAUACUAACAGUUACUGGAUUGCGUACUGAAGAAACAUAAUCGCAUUGUCGUUGUUGCCCAGACACGAUCAUCAUGGACGUGACCUCCCCUCCACCUAUGAAUGUCACCACAGCCGCUCCCAUGCACACAGAGUCCACUGUUAUUGGAGUGGUGAUCGCGCUGCUCCUGGUGACCCUAGCAGUGGUGGGCUUCCUACUCUACCGCUAUCUGUGCCACAACAAGGGCGCCUACCGGACCACCGGGGAGCCCGCCCCGGGAGAGGACCUGGCAGAAGACCACAAACCAAACCAGGCUCCCAAUGACAAGAAGGAAUACUUUAUAUGAACCCUGGUUAAUGCUGACCAGCAUGCCGAGGAAAUGAAUGGACCUUGUUGGACACGCGGAGAAGAGAUGGAUGAAUGGGAGUAUUAUCUGUUCUGCUGUGUGCUGUCUGCCAUACGUGGAAUGUGUUCUUAUUUUUGCUGCAACAGGCCAAAAGCAGGAAUGAAAAAAGGGGAAUGAAAAAAAAAAGUGAAAAUGGAUGUGUAGCCACCGAGCAGCUGCCCGUGAGAACAGGUGUUUACAGACAUAAGGCGUGAGCAGGUGGUUCCCUCCCGUUUUGUCUAGGUCAUCAUUGUGACGAGGUGCUUUGACAAUCAAUAUUUUAGCCAGGAUUAGUUUUUACUAUGCAGUAUCUGUUAUAUUCCUGAUGUAUACAGCACAUCAGUCAUUUCAGGAUGUUUUUUGAAAUGGUCAAAACUGUUUUUUUUAAUAAUGUGCAAUUUUUGUUUUUCUCUUGUUGCACGUACCUUGUAUUUUUAUGUUUGCCGUUUGUUAUACAGAAACAGAAUUGUCAGUUUUGCCAAAUAUAGAGGACACUGAUUUA